UACGUAGGGUGCAAGCGUUAAUCGGAAUUACUGGGCGUAAAGCGUGCGCAGGCGGUGAUGUAAGACAGGUGUGAAAUCCCCGGGCUUAACCUGGGAAUGGCGAUGGAGACUGCGAGGCUAGAGUUUGGCAGAGGGGGGUAGAAUUCCACGUGUAGCAGUGAAAUGCGUAGAGAUGCGGAGGAACACCGAUGGCGAAGGCAGCCCCCUGGGCUAGCACUGACGCUCAGGCACGAAAGCGUGGGGAGCAAACAGG
rnacentral:rRNA from 1 species